CCUACGGGGGGCAGCAGUGAGGAAUAUUGGUCAAUGGACGCAAGUCUGAACCAGCCAUGCCGCGUGAAGGAAGACGGCCCUAUGAGUUGUAAACUGCUUUUGUACGAGGGUAAACGCAGACACGCGUACCUGUUUGAAAGUAUUGUACGAAUAAGGAUCGGCUAACUCCGUGCCAGCAGCCGCGGUAAUACGGAGGAUUCGAGUGUUAUCCGGAUUUAUUGGGUUUAAAGGGUGCGUAGGUGGUUUGAUAAGUUAGUGGUGAAAUUCUGAGGCUCAACUGUGGAAUUGCAUCUGAUACUGGUAGGCUUGAGAAUAGUUGCGGUAGGCGGAAUGCAUGGUGUAGCGGUGAAAUGCUUAGAGAUCACACAGAACACCGAUUGCGAAGGCAGCUUACCAAGCUACGUCUGACGUUGAGGCACGAAAGCGUGGGUAGCAAACAGGAUUAGAUACCCGAGUAGUC
rnacentral:rRNA from 1 species